UACGUAGGGUGCAAGCGUUGUCCGGAAUUAUUGGGCGUAAAGAGCUCGUAGGCGGUCUGUCACGUCGGCUGUGAAAUCCCGAGGCUCAACCUCGGGUCUGCAGUCGAUACGGGCAAACUAGAGUAUUGCAGGGGAGACUGGAAUUCCUGGUGUAGCGGUGAAAUGCGCAGAUAUCAGGAGGAACACCGGCGGCGAAGGCGGGUCUCUGGGCCAUAACUGACGCUGAGGAGCGAAAGCGUGGGGAGCGAACAGG
rnacentral:rRNA from 1 species